rnacentral:rRNA from 1 species
GACGAACGCUGGCGGCGUGCUUAACACAUGCAAGUCGAACGGAAAGGCCUGCUUUCCCUUGUGGAUUGCGGGUACUCGAGUGGCGAACGGGUGAGUAACACGUGAGUGAUCUGCCCCCAACUUGGGUAUAAGCCUGGGAAACUGGGUCUAAUUCCCGAUAGGACUGCAGGGUGGUGCCUGUGGUGGAAAACGAUUUUCUAGUGGUUGGGGAUGAGCUCGCGGCCUAUCAGCUUGUUGGUGGGGUAAUGGCCUACCAAGGCGGCGACGGGUAGCCGGCCUGGGAGGGUGGACGGCCACAGUGGAACUGAGAUACGGCCCAGACUCCUACGGGAGGCAGCAGUGGGGAAUAUUGCACAAUGGGCGGAAGCCUGAUGCAGCGACGCCGCGUGGGGGAUGACGGCCUUCGGGUUGUAAACUCCUUUCGACCGCGAGGAAGCCACCUGGUUGGAAGGGUGGUGACGGUAGUGGUAGAAGAAGCACCGGCUAACUACGUG